UACAGAGGUCUCAAGCGUUGUUCGGAUUCAUUGGGCGUAAAGGGUGCGUAGGUGGCGCGUUAAGUCAGGUGUGAAAUUUCGGAGCUUAAACUCCGAAACUGCAUUUGAUACUGGCGUGCUUGAGGACUGGAGAGGAGACUGGAAUUCGAUGGUGUAGCAGUGAAAUGCGUAGAGAUCAAUGAGGAAGACCAGUGGCGAAGGCGGGUCGUCUGGACAAGUUCCGUGACACUGAGGCACGAAGGCCAGGGGAGCGAAACGGGG
rnacentral:rRNA from 1 species